UACUGAGUUGCUUAGCACCUCAUUUUUACUGAGGCUGGCUUUGAACUUGCAAUCCUCAUGCCUCAGCCUCCCAAGAUGCUGGGAUUAUAGGUGUGCACCAAUGUGCCCAGCUGAUUUAUCAAUUUCUGAUAUAACUAUUGGCUUCCUCCCUCUCCAUGUUCAGCACUUAUAUUAUUUUUAGUUUUUUAGCACUUAGGACUUUUAAGUAUUUAAAUUUCUAUUAUUUAAUCAGUUUCAUAUCUAUUGACUAUUAUAAAAAUUAGAUCAUUAAUGAAUUUCUGUUUCCCUCCCAUCUCUCACUUCUUUUCUUCUAAUUAACAAGUUAAAUAUUAUAUAACAGAUUAUAUUAAAUUACAAAUUUAUAUAAAAUUAUAUUACUUUGAAAUUGUAUUGCUUUAUUAUGUUUUGUUAAUUACAAUUAACCCUUAGAGUUUUGGGGAACACCUUUAUUCAAAAAUUGAAAACCAAUGAAUAACUAGGCUUGGUGGCACACACCUGUAAUCCCAGUGACCAGUGAUCCCAGGAUCACAAGUUUGGGGCUCACCUCAGCAAUUUCAUGAGAUCCUGUCUCAAAAAAAAAAAUAAAUAAAUAAAUAAAGGGCUUGGGAUGGAGCUCAACAGUAGAGUACCUCUGGGUUCAAUCCCCAGUACCAAUAAAUAAAUAAUAAGUGAAAAGAAAAAAAGAAAUGAACAAUAUUCAAUUUCAUAUUUAGAAAGCAAAGUGAUUAUAACUGUGCACAAGGAAAUGUGAUCCUAUGUCUAUGCAACUUGUCUCCUAAAAAGGGAAGAUUUCUUUCUCUUUUCUUUGUUAGUGCAUUGCAGUAGUACAUAAUGGUGGAAUCUGCUGUGACGUGUUCAUGCAUGCACACAACAUAACAAGAUAAUCUGGCCAAUAUCACUCCUUGCACUUGCCCCUCCCUCCUCUCCUCUUACCCCAAAGCGGGGAUAGGGGUGUCCUUUCCUCCAUUCUACUGAUUUCCCUUUAUAAUAAUAAAUAUUUCAUGAAACUCUCCCCACGACCAUUUUUCUUUUCCUUUUUCUUCUCUAGCUUCCACAUAUGAGAGAAAAUACACAACCUUGACCCUUUGAGUUUGGCUUUUUCAACAUAAUGUCUCAAGUUCCAUCCAUUUUCCUGCAAAUGACAUAGUUUCAUUUUUCUUUAUGGCUGAGUAAAACUCCAUUGCGUAUAUACAUAUUUUCUUCAUCCAUUCAUCCACUGAUGGACACCUGGGCUGGUUUCAUGUUUUGGCUGCUGUGCAUGUGGGUGUGCGUUGGUGUGCGUGUGUCACUGUAGCACGAUGACAUUAAUCUUUUAGGAUAAACUCCAAGGGAUGCUAUAGCUGAGUCGUAUGGGGGUUCCAUGCUUAGUCUUUGGAGGAACCUCCAUGUUGAUUUCCACAGUGGUUGUACUAAUUUAUAAUCCCACCAACCAGUGUAAAGGUCUUCCUUUUUCUCCUCAUCUUCU
rnacentral:lncRNA from 1 species